rnacentral:rRNA from 1 species
GUAGUUGAUCCGUGGCUCAGGACACGCUGGCGGCGUGCUUAACACAUGCAAGUCGAGCGGUAAGGCCCUUCGGGGGUACACGAGCGGCGAACGGGUGAGUAACACGUGAGCAACCUGCCCCUGACUCCGGGAUAAGCGGUGGAAACGCCGUCUAAUACCGGAUACGACCCGCCACCUCAUGGUGGAGGGUGGAAAGGUUUUAUCGGUCAGGGAUGGGCUCGCGGCCUAUCAGCUUGUUGGUGGGGUAACGGCCUACCAAGGCGAUUACGGGUAGCCGGCCUGAGAGGGCGACCGGCCACACUGGGACUGAGACACGGCCCAGACUCCUGCGGGAGGCAGCAGUGGGGAAUAUUGCACAAUGGGCGAAAGCCUGAUGCAGCGACGCCGCGUGGGGAUGACGGCCUUCGGGUUGUAAACCUCUUUUACCACCAACGCAGGCUCCACGUUCUCGUGGGGUUGACGGUAGGUGGGGAAUAAGGACCGGCUAACUACGUG